rnacentral:rRNA from 1 species
CCUACGGGUGGCUGCAGUGGGGGAUAUUGCACAAUGGGGGGAACCCUGAUGCAGCGACGCCGCGUGGGUGAAGAAGCGCCUCGGCGCGUAAAGCCCUGUCAGCAGGGAAGAAAAUGACGGCACCUGAAGCUGAAGCACCGGCUAACUACGUGCCAGCAGCCGCGGCAAUACGUAGGGGGCAAGCGUUAUCCGGAUUUACUGGGUGUAAAGGGGGCGCAGACGGCGGUGCAAGCCAGGAGUGAAAGCCCGGGGCCCAACCCCGGGACUGCUCUUGGAACUGCGUGGCUGGAGUGCAGGAGAGGCAGGCGGAAUUCGUGGUGUAGCGGUGAAAUGCGUAGAUAGCAGGAGGAACACCGGUGGCGAAGGCGGCCUGCUGGACUGCAACUGACGCUGAGGCACGAAAGUGCGGGGAUCGAACAGGAUUAGAUACCCGUGUAGUC